AGUUUCAAGUAUCUGUGAAUAUGCAGAGGAAGUCCCAAUGCUCUCUGAAGACUUGGAAAAAACAGAUCACUACUAACUAGCUGGCUUCUGAAAACCAGGUCAAAUAGCACCUCGGCAGCCUUGAGUGAUCAGUUCUAAGACCCACGCCAAGACCCACGCCAAGACCCACCCAAACUGCGGAUGCCCACGUCUUCUGCAUUCAAUGGCAAGAAAAACAACAACAACUGAAUGGACACUGUGACUAUGCCUGUAAUCCUAGCAUUUGGGACACCCAGUUCUAGGUGAGCCAGAGCUACAGAGUGAGGUCCUUUCUCUCCCAAACUAUGAACGUCUCCCAUGUUCUUUAUAUCCAUGUGUUCCACAGCAUACAUGUAGAGGUCAGAGAUCAAUGUUCAGAAAGCAGCCCUUUCUGGGUUGCCAGGGUCAGCUUGGCUUGGCAGUCUAAGCACCUUUAUCAGGGGAGCCAUCUUGCCAACCUCAGAUAUAAUUUUCUAAGUGUAUUACUAUUGUAUGUGUGCAUGUAUGUAUACAUGUGGGUAUGAGCAUGCCACAAGUGUGUAGGUGAAGAUCAGAGGGCAACUUUUAAGAGCCGGUUCUCAGCAGGCUUUCUGGGCAAGAGUUUUACUUGCUGAGCUGUCUUGCUGGCCUCCAGACUUAGUUUUUGUUUUUUUCCCUGAAUCUUGGCUCUGUGGAUGGUUGAAGUCACAGCUGUGCAAGUCAUAGAUAUGGAAAAUUAACGGUAUUUAUCAGGAAAAGCAUGGGACUCACACAGCCUUUGCCCAUGUGACAUCUGAGACAUGUGAGGCAGUGUCUUCAGUCUGCAGUUUCUUGCCCUUGAGAUUCAGAAGGCGGCGGCUCAUCCCCAGAGCCUUAGCCGUUGUCUCCACGGCAGGAAUGUUUUGAUGCUUUCAUUUUGAUAAGGUAUCGAGGGCCACUCAUUAGAGGCCUAGCUCCUGAUUUGAAGUGACUAAUGAUUAAAUAAGCCAUGAAGAUAAACAUCUUUCAAGAGAUUAGGUCCUUAAAAGCUUCUGGUUGGGUCUGGAAGGCAAAGGGAUUUCUGGGUUUUUCCCCCUGGCUUCAGUGAAAGGUGACUCAAUGGACUUGAAUUUCCUCUUCAGGGCCAGCUCAGAGUCACUGCACCUAAAGAGGAAGAGAGUGAGAUAAACGGUGGCCAGGAGCUGGGCAGUGACCUGUUCUUCUUCUAUGGUUAAAAUGUUUGCCUUGGUUUCAUGAGAACGCGAGUUCUGUCACCAGGACCUAUGUUAAACAGCCUUGUGUGGUGGUGGUACAUGGUUGUAAUGUCAGUACUGGGGAGGUGGAAACAGGUGGAUGGAUUCUGGGGACUUGGUGGCCAGUCAGUUUAGCUAACUGGGUGAGUUCUAGGCCACUUGGAGUCUGUUUUGAAACAAAACCAAAACCAAAAAAAAACAAAACCAGAUGGCAGAUAGAGCCUGAAAAUUAUACCCGAGGUUACCCUCUGACUGUCACAUGCAUAUGCACACCCACAUCUCCCACAUCUGCCUUCACACACACACACACACACACACACACACACACACACACACACACAGGACAUGUGCAUGAACACUUGGAUAAAGUCAUUGGAUGUUCAUGAAAAGAGCUAGCAUUUUAAGAAGACAGAAAAGACUUGCUGCACAUUGAAUCCUGAAUGUCUCUCAUGUGUUAAAGACUUGGUUUCCACCCCAUGAUGUGAUUGGAAGGGAGGCAAGGGGUUGAACCGCUAUGCAGUUCAGCCUAGUAGGAAGAAGGUAGGUCACUGGGGGCCAUGCCAUUUGAAGGGAAGCUCAGACUCUCUCUUCCUUGAUGUUCCCCUAUGGCGAUGAGGAGUAGCAACAGAGCCAACUGACCAUGACCUGAAGCCUCUAAGACUGUGCCCAAGUAGACUGUUUCUUCCUCCUCUUCUUCUCUGACUGCUUCUUCUUAAAACUUGACUGUGUCUGGUAUUUUGUUGGUGACAGAAAGCCAGGGUCUAGGGGAUGCUUUCUCCAGGAUGGUAGAUAACAGAAGGAGGGUGGUGUCUUUCUUCCCAAUAUUGAAGCUUUUUCUCUGUGGAGAAGUUUCGUUAUGACUCUGACAUCUUAACCAGUUUGUCUCUGUCUUCCUGGGGAUUGAGAAAAGAGAAGUGUCUGCAAAUGUAAGCACCAUGCCUGCUCAGCAAUAAUGCUUGUCCUGUGCCUCUCAUCCCAAGAGUUCUGUCCAUUAUCACCUCUGCUGCUGACCCUUCAACCUUCCUGUCUCUGCCAGGAAGCAGACAUGACAAAUAUCAACUGGUUCCAUCAUUCUUGAUGUUGAAAUGACAGGCAGAAGGUUCUGAAAGGGCCACCAGACAGAAGCCAGUGGUUAAUGACUCUAUAGUCUACAUUCAUCCAUGGAGUUCUGUCCUGCACUCUCUAAGGUUCUGGUAUGUGGUAGAACUGCAAGUUUGGGUAUCUUGCAAAGUCUCUGGUGUGUCCUAAGAAAGCUAGGGCCAGGGCCACUGAGAACCUGAGCCUUCUGCCUGGAACUCUAGCAAUUAAGACAACUGGAGAAUGUUUUGUGAGAAGAUGAGGCCCUGUGGAAGAAGGAAAUGACUGUGAGCAAGCCACUAACUGGAUGGACCUCUUCCUACACACAGCUACUCCAAGUGUUCAAAGCUGUAGAGUCAGCCUUGGUCCCACUGAGAAGAAAGUCUUGUGAUGGAGAAACAAUGGGCUGAGGCUUGAGGGGGAUCCCCUCUUGUGAACUCAUCCUCUGCUUGUUCCAAUCCUAGGGGCGACUGCAAACAUCUCACACUUCCCCUGUGUACAUGAGUUGUUCUUCCAGAACCCCUAUCAAAGGAUGAGUUUUCACUCUC
rnacentral:lncRNA from 1 species